AGCCACAUUAAGGUGAAACCGCGAAUGGCUCAUUACAUCAGUUAUGGUUCCUUAGAUCGUACCCACAUUACUUGGAUAACUGUGGUAAUUCUAGAGCUAAUACAUGCAAAUAGAGUUCCGACCAGAGAUGGAAGGAAUGCUUUUAUUAGAUCAAAACCAAUCGGUGGCGGGCUUGCCUUGCUCACCGUUUGACUUGGUGACUCUGAAUAACUUUCUGCUGAUCGCACGGUCUCGUACCGGCGACGCAUCUUUCAAAUGUCUGCCUUAUCAACUGUCGAUGGUAGUUUCUGCGACUACCAUGGUUGUUACGGGUAACGGGGAAUCAGGGUUCGAUUCCGGAGAGGGAGCCUGAGAAACGGCUACCACAUCCAAGGAAGGCAGCAGGCGCGCAAAUUACCCACUCCCGGCACGGGGAGGUAGUGACGAAAAAUAACGAUACGGGACUCAUCCGAGGCCCCGUAAUCGGAAUGAGUACACUUUAAAUCCUUUCACGAUUAACAAUUGGAGGGCAAGCCUGGUGCCAGCAGCCGCGGUAAUUCCAGCUCCAAUAGCGUAUAUUAAAGUUGUUGCGGUUAAAAAGCUCGUAGUUGAAUCUGUGUCCCACACUGUCGGUUCACCGCUCGCGGUGUCCAACUGGCAUGUCUGUGGGACGUCCUGCCGGUGGGCGCAGCCCCUCAAAAGGCGGCCCAACUUGAAAUCCUACCACGGUGCUCUUCACCGAGUGUCGAGG
rnacentral:rRNA from 1 species